GCCUUUCUGGAGACAUCACAUAAGAUCCUAACGAUAAAAAGAAGAUGAGCUCCUCUGUGCAAGGAUGACACGCACAAAUCCUGAAACGGUCCAUAUUUUU